ACGGGAGUUCCCCUCAGGCACUGCGCGGAGCGGCGGCGUCGGACGGGGCCCCGGGGCGGGGGUCGGCGGUCGGAAGGCGCUGAAAGCAGCGGUGGCUGGGGCGGCGCGCAGCUCCAGCGCCGGAAUUCCGCAGCACGGCCCCAGGAACGGGGCCUUGGCCCCGCAGCCACGCUUGGAGCGCACCCGCGGUGAUUUAACUUUCUCAUGAUGGCCCCAGCGGAAUGUGGGUCUGCCCGCACAGCGCUGUCAGAGGCAGGUUCCUUGCCAGAGCGUACACUUCAGAAUCCCAGUUCUGAGCACGUCGUGCUUGCACACCCCACACGAGAAACUUGGAAACCAGCCUACUGAUCUCUGGCAGAGUUGUGCGUCCAGAUAAAGACGGCAAAACGGAGGCAGGAAGGCACAUAAGAGUAUUACUCACUUCCCCAGAGGCGGCUCAGCCACAAGUUGAGCAGCGCCUGCUGCCCUGAGCCUGGCCGAAUACUUCCAGCAUAUCUCCAGUACUUCAAAAACACUUGAACCUGAGCAGUGGAGCAAGCACAGACAAUUCCAGUGUUAGUUCAGGUGUCAACAAAUGCUCACGUGCUGGUGUAUAAGUAUGUGAAACAUACAACUGGUAUUUGGUGAUACAAGGAAAAAACAUCUUUUCAAGUAUUCCAUGCAAUAAGGCUUCAUUAAAAGCUGGAGCACUUCACAGAUUUCUCUGAAAUAGCAACAAAUACAAGGCAGAUGUACACUAUGAAAUAGACCAGCUAGUUUUUAAUGCAAAAAUUUGAUAAAAGUUAUAACCAUUGUAGAACCACACUGAAGCCACAGCUGGACUUCAAUGCCUUCCAUCACACCCGUGGUAAAACCAGUGAUUAAUAAAGACAAGACCAACAAAAUAGCACAGCUAAAGCAGCGAAGAAUAAAUUUAAUUUGACAAAUAGGCUGAGACUAGUUUUUGCUUUGGAGCUACUUGUAUACAGCUAAACAAUCAUAUCCUAAACAACAAACAAAAAUCUAGGAAAUUCAGCAGGAAUCUUCAGUUUCUAUGUUGCCUCACUUUCCAGAGUGUAUACUCAUUGGAAAUUUAGGCUUGUCUGCACAAUUCACUGUACUUGAGCUAUGAAAUGCACCAGCUACAGUCCUAGAGGGAUGGAUCACUCUGGUCAUACAGCAAAUGUCAUCACUUGUAAUAACAAAACAAGCCCCUUGUCCUGUGUCUGCCACAGUAGACUUCUAAAAUUAAUGAGCCACUCCUCAGAUUUCUCAAUAGUGUGCUUUUCAAGCCAUUCCCUGCCCUUAGCUUGGUUGGUAAGGCUGCCAAGUUAUUAAUAAAUCUCUAUAUUAUAAAGACAUUUAAUUUCAGGAAAGGAUUGCUGUCUGCAUUUUAUUCAAUGUAGUACACAGCUGGCUGAUGGCCUAUUUGCCCUGCGAGAUCCUUGGUAAAAUAAAGUUAUUUGGGGAAAUACCUGUUAAAUUAAAA